AAAGGGGCAGGGGGGAGAGACCCGCCGGCCGGCCGGCCGGCCGCUUUCAAUGAACGGUGCAGCCCAGGCAGAAAAGCGGUGGGCGCCGAGGUAGCCCGGGGAGAUGUAGGCGCCCCGCGCCGUUCCCCAGAACGGGUAAGAUGCUGAGCCGACAUCGCUCUGAAGGGUGAGGAAGAGCAAAGGGGCGCCAAGACCGAGACGGGACCUAUUCGAACGUCCACCGCUUCUUACCGAGAAUUGAGAAGCCGAAGUCUCAGAGACCGACGCUGCCGCCAUCUUCGUGCCUGCCUAGCGGACCUCUGCAGUCCCGGAGCGGCCCGGGUGCGCGCGCUGUUCUUCAAGCUUCGAGAGCCGCCCGCCAGGGACGACCCUAAGCCAAACCCCUGAUGGAAGGGGCUGGGGUGCUGGUGCCCGGCCCGGAAACCCCUGCCACACACCCCCACUUGGACGCCCGCGCUCUGGAGUGCACACGGAAAGGGCAACACGUCCUAACGGACGCCCUGGUCAGCCAAUCAAAAAGGCGAACGUCUUCAGGUGGUAGGAGAAUCCGCCCCUUCCCUCGGUGACGUCACAAGGUAGCGCGUCGCAAGGGCUGCGCGGGCGCGUAGCGCCGAGGGUUCCCAGGCCCUUCUGACGGGGUUUUGCAUAGGAACGGACUUUCUCGAGGGAAAUAGAUGGGCGAGGGGUUGUGUUGUUUCAUUGGCAACCGAAUACAAUGACUGAAAUAAAAGCGAACGCGAAAUUCAAACACUCCAUGUCUUCCCUUGGAUUAAAGGCCAGAGAGAGCGUGAGUUUCACUCGGGGACGCCUCUCCAGGUGAAGUACUCACCUUUCGGCCAAUUAAAAAUAGAAUUGGGAGGGGCUUAAAAAUUUGGUCCAAUGGAAGUCAAGGAAAAAAAAAGAAUAGGGGCAGAGAGUAAACCUUAGCAAACAACUGCCCAAUUGGAUUGGGAAACUCCCAACCAAACCUGGGACUGGCUGCUAGAAAUAGUCGCCACCGGGACCUUUGGGCGGGGCAAGUUUAAAGUGGAUUUCGCGCGCUGAAAGCGUCGCGCUAUUAUUGGCCAGCGACUUCCUCCCUUUGUGGGAGCUCCCAGCGUAGCGGGGGUUAGGCCUUGGGCGGAGCGGCCUGGUGACGCUGUAGCCUUCCCAGCCAAUCAGGGGUGAGAAAGGGAAGCCUAGGAGGAAGCGGAUCCGCUGCCGCGCUGCUAAACCGCAGCGAACUAUCCUCUUCGUCUUCCUCCGCCGCUCUCGGGCCUAAGCGGGAGCGGCCGGGACGGCGUCACUGGGUGGGCUGGGGCGGAAGUGGAGGCGGAGGGAGACGGCGGCGGCCGCAGGGCCUUGGGCUCUCGCGGCGAGGGCCUGGUGGGCGCGAGGCAGGGGGAGGGGGAGGAGGAGGAGCCCGCAGCCCAAGCGGCAGUGGCGGCAGCGGUGGCUGCGGCGCCCGAGUUUCCCGUAGGGCUCCGCCUCGGAGCGGGCGGCGGUGGAGGAGGAGACUGAGGAGCAGGAUGGCGGCCUCGGCCCUGUACGCCUGCACCAAGUGCACCCAGCGCUAUCCCUUCGAGGAGCUCUCCCAGGGCCAGCAGCUCUGCAAGGAAUGUCGGAUUGCGCAUCCUAUUGUAAAAUGUACUUACUGCAGAUCAGAAUUUCAACAAGAGAGCAAAACUAACACAAUUUGUAAGAAGUGUGCUCAAAAUGUGAAGCAGUUUGGCACCCCUAAGCCUUGUCAGUACUGUAACAUAAUUGCAGCAUUUAUUGGUACAAAGUGUCAGCGUUGCACAAAUUCAGAAAAAAAAUAUGGACCACCUCAGACCUGUGAACAGUGCAAACAACAGUGUGCUUUUGAUCGAAAGGAGGAGGGAAGAAGAAAGGUUGAUGGGAAAUUAUUAUGCUGGCUCUGUACUUUAUCAUACAAGAGAGUUUUACAGAAGACAAAAGAACAAAGGAAGGGCCUGGGAUCCUCACAUUCAAAUUCCUCUUCUUCAUCCCUCACUGAGAAAGACCAGCAUCAUUCAAAACAUCACCACCACCAUCAUCACCAUCACCAUCGGCACGGCAGUAGCCAUCACAAAAUCAGCAACCUAAGUCCAGAACAAGAGCAGGGACUGUGGAAACAGAGCCAUAAAUCCUCUGCAACAAUUCAGAAUGAAACUCCAAAGAAAAAGCCCAAAUUGGAAUCUAAGCCAUCUAAUGGAGAUAGGUGUAUGUAAUGUGUGCCAUUAGUAAGGUAAUUUGCCAGUUGCAUCCAUUUCUGUCAGUAGCUCUAUAAAUCAGUCAGCAGAUAGUGGGGGAACAGACAAUUUUGUCCUUAUAAGUCAACUGAAAGAAGAAGUGAUGUCACUUAAACGUCUCUUACAGCAGAGAGACCAGACCAUUUUAGAAAAAGAUAAAAAGUUAACUGAACUUAAGGCAGACUUUCAGUACCAAGAGUCAAACUUGAGAACAAAGAUGAACAGUAUGGAGAAAGCUCACAAAGAAACUGUGGAACAACUUCAGGCCAAAAACAGAGAACUACUCAAACAGGUCGCAGCAUUGUCAAAGGGUAAAAAGUUUGACAAAAGUGGAAGCAUAUUAACAUCCCCUUAGAGAAAGUAGUUGUUCAUUAGUGUUUCUGCUGAAAAUGUAAAAUUUGAAAAAAAGAAAUUCUGUGAAGCCCUUAAAUUUAGUGUGUAGUGGAAAAAUAUUUUUGCACACCAAAUGAAUUGGUGUGUUUCCUAUUCACUUUUGUAACUGAUAACACAGCAUUUUUUUAAGUUGUAAAACAUUCAAAUAAAACUUCAACUGGUUUGAAGUAACUUUUUAAUUAUUUGAUAUCCAGCAACUUUUUUUGCCAGCAAUAGUAUUAAACAGCUGUCAAGGAGUGCAUGAAUAGUGCUCUUUCUAAAAUGCAACAUGCAAUAAUAGAGUAAGUAUGGUUUUAAGAAGUCAGAGCAGCAGGGGUUUGGCUUUGAUGUUUAUUUUACAUGAUGAUCAUUUCAGAUAAAACAGUUUUCAAUUUAGAAAUACAGAAACUUUUAAACAAAAAAAGUUGUGAACACUGGUUUUUUGGUAGUUGUGUUUUUACUUUUCAUUGACAUGAAUUUAGGAGAGAAUCAUGGUGCUUUUAUUAAAUGGACUUCAGAGUAUAUGUAAAUAUGUUUUUAAAAGUUACAUCGUUAACAGUAGUAAACUAGUAUUUUCGUUAUUGGUAUAGGACUUCAUGUUUAUUGUACAGUAUCCAAGGUAAAAUGUGUUUGUUUUGUAAAAACUACUGUAGAUUUUUACUUACAAGUGCCUUUUUGCCACCUAAUGUUUUUAUUUAUAGGAAUGCUGAUCUUUUGUACAUACUAUUUGUUUUAAAAUCAUGUUUAAUAAAUGUUUGUAUAUAAAUGCAUAUGUACAGAAGCUAUUUCAAAAGGAAAUCAAAAUUGCUAGUAAAAAUGUUUGAGGUUGCAUUAAGCACUGAUAUGCAUCUAGACUUUAGAUGAUUUUGUUGUUUGUUUCUGUGUGAUGUGGGAAGCUGUUGGUCAUUGAAUUCAUUGAAUUAUGUCAAAAUACUUCCCCAAAGAUUUAAUUUUAAAUCACUUCUGAUAGAGUAAUUUUAUUUUUAAUGUCAUAUGGCUUCAUAUUCAUAUUUUGUGAGUUACAUGUUUUACUUUAUUUUUCUUUAAUUAAAAUUUUAAGAAAUUAUAGUUCUUCUGUAGUGGUCCAUAUAUCUGCUUUACCUGUAAUAUGUGGUUAUCUAAGUUAAUAUUUAUGUACACCAUACUUAAUUUGUAAGUUUAAAGCAAGUCUGGAAAAAAUUAAAUAUCUUUUAAAUCAGUCUGUGAUUACCUUUGAAUAAAUUGGAAUCUACUGUAAGAUUUAGGCACUAUUUAUAAGAAAAUUAUAUCAGAGUUUUUUAAAAUUGUCUAUAAAAGAUUAAGGUAGGGUGGGAUAGGUUAGGAAAAGUUAUUGACUAAUUAUAUUCUGAUCCAGUGUUUUUGCCUCCCUGCAAUAGAAUUGAUCUCCUUAGUUAAGGCCAGUUCAGACUUUCAGUUCAAUUUUAAAGUCUCAAGUAUCGCUAGAUAACUGUAUAGAGUAGAAGGGCUCCUUCUCUUAGGCAUUUAUGGGCAAAUACAGAUUUGUUUCAGGUAAACUGUUAUUAAACUUCUCAGUUUUGAAGAUUUGUUUUUACACAAGCAUUGAUUAUGAAUGUUGUAUCAAAGAUCCUCUUUCCUCAGAAGAUGGAAUGACUGUAAUGAUUGUUUUUAACAUGACUCAUGUUUUAGUUGAUUACUCCUAUAGUGACUUGUUACAAAGUGACAUCAAAUAAUUCUUUGUCCAAUUUGAAAACACAUAAUCUAGGGCAACUUUCAAGUGAUAGCAGAAUAGUCAGCCAGACUUGGAAAAAUUAAACCAGUUUAUUUUUAUGAUGUCUUCAUGCAAUAAUCUUCCUAAAUUUAGUACUCUCUACAGGGAUGGAUAAUGCCUUCUUAACACAGAUUUUAAUGUUUUUGCAGGAUUUACUAAAUUCAUUAUAUAGUCUUAACCUUUCUUUAAAAUUUAUGGUGUUUGUAUUCUGGUUUCACAGCUAUUUGUCGGUCAUAGUGGUCAGUAUAAACUGUGUUAAUAGUUCUUUUUCCUUGUUGGAGCUGCUACAAAAGAAAGGUGCGCCUUCCCCAAUUUUAGGUAACAGAUUAAAAGUUGAAAUUGGUCUAAACAAUGAAGCUUUGUAAAUUUUGAGGCUAAAACCUUUUAGGGGCUUCACAGUAUUUAGUCCUAAAUACUGCCAUCUCUUUAUUCCAUGAGCUGAUUUUAUAACUUAAUUAUUUUGCAGUUGUAUAAAGUAGUACUUGAGUCCCAGUCCUGGAUCUGUAGUGUAUUGACAUGAGCAGAUAUUCUCUCAAUGUGGACUUGUAAGGAGAUACUAUGGUGUGCCGUAUUGUGCUUUUUAGCCUGUUUUCAGCUAUGGAUUAGCAUUUACCAGUGAGGGUCAUUUUGGCUCCGGUUAUUUAUGUAUUAAUAGCCUGUGAAUAUUGCAGUCCUUUUUAGAUGGUAUUGGUCUAAAUAUGCAUUCCUCAGUGAACCUGUUAAGCUGUUCAUAUGUAUAGACUAUUGAAAUACUGUACUUACGCUCAUCUGACUGUUGACAUUUUGUACUUUUUUCUAAAUCCAAUAUUUCACAAUAAAAACUUGUCAAAAGCUU